UACGUAGGGCGCAAGCGUUGUCCGGAAUUAUUGGGCGUAAAGAGCUCGUAGGCGGUCUGUCGCGUCUGGUGUGAAAUCCCAUGGCUCAACUGCGGGCUUGCAUCGGGUACGGGCAGACUAGAGUGCUGUAGGGGAGACUGGAAUUCCUGGUGUAGCGGUGGAAUGCGCAGAUAUCAGGAGGAACACCGAUGGCGAAGGCAGGUCUCUGGGCAGUUACUGACGCUGAGGAGCGAAAGCAAGGGGAGCGAACAGG
rnacentral:rRNA from 1 species